ensembl:lncRNA novel transcript, antisense to PDPK1
ACGGCCUCAGUGAAAGGGAACCGCUGGUGACAGGGCCUACAGACCCCGACCAAAAAGCGCAUAUAACUCACGUGCAGGCUUCGAUGCACAAAGACCCCGGGGGCCGGCGGAGCAGGGUCGGAGAGCGCGACAGCCCCUGCCCUGAGACCCCGGCUUUAUGUGCUACGCAUCCACGCGUGGCACUGCCCCUUCCAUGCAGUCUCCUUCCGUGGAUAAAGUGACACAUUUUGUUUUGUUUUUUUUUUUUAAGAUGCAGUCUCGCUCUGUCGCCAGGCUGGAGUGCAGUGGCGCUACCUCGGCUCGCUGCAACCUCCGCCUCCCGGAGUCAAGCAAUUCUCCUGCCUCAGCCUCCCGAGUAGCUGGGACUACAAGCACGCGCCACCAUGCCCCCCUAGUUUUGGUAUUUUUAGUAGAGACGGGGUUUCCCCAGGUUGGCCAGGAUAGUCUCCAUCUCUUAUCCUCGUGAUCUGCCCGCCUUGGCCUCCCAAAGUGCCGGGAUUACAGGCGUGAGCCACCGCACCUGGCCGAGUGACACACUUUGUAAGACAAAAGCCAUCUCAUGAACUUCUACACCCAUGAAGUGUGUCUGGGAGGCCCCCUCCUCUGGGCACCACUGCCCUACGAUGGCUCCAUCUGUAGCCUCCUUUUCCAAGAGGACUUAAGACCGACAAUAAAUGGAUCCCAGAUACAGAUUCCCCUGCAAGCGGCAAACGUCCAUCCCCAUUACCGGAAACCUCCAGAUACUUCACACUUACUGGCAGCCCAGGACACGGGGACCCAAAUCCUUGCCUGCCCUGAGCAGUGGCUCUCGAGGCCAGGAAGGGGGGCUCGUGCUCAGAGCCAGGCUGGCCUGCCUGCUCACUUCUGUUUGCCAGGGCACCAUCAUCUCCCACCAAGGAUGAACCUGAAGCUUCAGGGCAACGAAGAGAAACCCAGAAGCGAAGGGACUUGCAACCAAGGCUGCCCAAAGUGGCCCCUGUCCAGGCCCAUCUCUAAAUACAACCCACACCGAGGAUGCCUGGUGGGGCAGAAGUCCCUGGGUCUCGUUCCCGUCAGGGGCGAGUGAACCUUCACAACCUCCCGGGGCUUUGGAAUUUGACUUAAUGAUGAAGGGCAACAUGGACCACUGGACAAAGACCUGGAGUUCCCACUACCUGCACCGCUCUGGCCAAUCCCAUUUGGAAAUCAGUCAGCAAGAUUCACUCUCCUCUGGACUCUGAGCCCCCGGGAGGAGAGGAUGGGAGAGGUCAAGCGUGUGCAAUUCUGUUGCAGCCUCACAACCAACAAGCAGCCGUGUUCCGACGGCUCUGCGGGAAGCCCAGAGGGACUCCCGUGGCUCAUACGGGGGCAGAGACGUGCAGGGCCCCGGGGAACGUGAAGGUGAGAGACAGAACAUACCGUGAAGAAGCCACUGAGAGUGGGAGACAGAGGCAGGAACAGGGAUGACACUGGAGGACAGCAGGCCUGCCUGGAGGCCAGCAUUCUCUACAACCUUCCACAAACCAACAGCAAAGCCCGCUCCGGGCCACGUGCCUGGCAGCUGCUCGGCCACUGCCCCGCUCCUCCCUAGGCAAAAUCCCAGGGAAGCACCUUGCGUCGUUUCCAUUUCCUCACCUCUUACUCUUCCUUGAACAGUCCCCCCAAGAAACUGCCUACCCACCAUCAACAACUGGCACAGGGCAGAUCCACGGGUCAGGCUGUGUGCACCUGACCGCUUCAUAACCCCUGCGUGGGCAGCCAGCACCCUCCAUCAGAAAUCGUUUGAUCCCGUGGCCUCUGGGUCUCCAUCAUUCGAGCUCGGGAGCAACAUCCCAUCACCAUCUCCUCUCCUCGGUGGGCCCCUCCUCGUGUUCACCCCUGCACUGGGGGGAACCCAGGCUCCACUCACAGAGGAGCCAACCUCUGGGCAGCCUGCCAGCUCGCUGUGAAAGUCCUCACGGCCCUGACUCCUCCUGGAGCUCUGCUGGCAGCACCUAAGUGCCCACUCAGACCUGAAUGGUGGCACCAGCGGAUGCAUGAAAUGCCAGCCCAGCACCCGCCCCGGUCUCUCCCAGCUCAGCAGCAGACACCGCUGUGCACUAGGCUUGAGGGCCACCUCCCAGGAGCCGCCCCUGACUCCAUUCUCUUGACCGGUCUGUUCAUCAGACCUCGACCACGGCCCCUGCCCCUGCUCUCCUGCCCGUUCUCCCGCCUGGCCUAGGAGAAGCCACAGCAAACCCCACGUUCCCCGCCACAAAGAGAAGGAAGUCCAGAGUCAGUGCCAGGCUGCCACGGCUCAGGGGCCCAGCCCACCACAGCCUUUCAUGCCCCCCCACACACUCCUGCCCAGGAGCUGAAAGAGCCCCACACUGCCGCCAGCCCCUACCCAGCCCUAAGACUCUUGGCAGCGCAUCUUGCUGCCGGGAAGCCUCUGACACGGAUCGUCAGUGCACGUCCAGCUCCUCCACCAAAAUCGAAGCUUCUCGUGGGCAGAGACGCCACCCGGCAUAGCAGCGCAUCCCCAUCACCCAUCAACCUGCACUUGGCAAGCACCUCCAAACAGAGAGAGCACACACACUCCGCCGGCAGCCGAAGGAGCUGCAGGAUGGUGCUGAGAGUGGGAGCAGGCCAGAACGAAGCUCUAACACAGAAGAGCCGGGUGCUGGGGAGAGACGGGGAGGACAGGUGGGAGGACUCAGGCCCCUCCCCAGGCAGGAUGGGGAGGCCACGACACUUGGGCCAGCUUGGAGGGUGGCGGGGGAGGAGAAGAGCAGAUGCAGACUGCACCUGCUGGGGGUGACGACGGUGUGGCGUGGCCAGCCCAGCCACUGGCAGGCCCACAGGUCAGCUGGAUGGGGCAGAGGUGGGGCCCACCCCAACUUCCACCGGGCCUUGCCUCCCAGAUUCCUGAGCCAAGGUUUAAUAACAGAAAAGAUGGCGCUCUAGGGGAGCAAGGGACGCCGACCAAGCAAGCCGCAGCAGAGAGGACUGUGCUGGAGCCACAUCGGUGGCUUCUCCGGGAGGUAACGUCCUGUGCAGACUCCCAGCCACACCCUGGCGCUGCCUCGGCUGCCUCCCUGAAUGUCAGCGGCCUGAGGGACCCCACUCGGCAGGGAGCGGGGGCUGCUUGUGGGAACACACAGGGUCUGAUUCCAAGUGAGAGGGGUGACUGGUGUGGCUUCAGACGGCACCAACCACGCAAAGGAUACACAGCUUCUCGUCGUCCUGAAAUGUGAAGUAAAGCUUAACAAAGAAGGGGUGAUCCAGGCGCGACAUGACAUCCCGCUCUCUGGUUACAUAGGGGACCUUGUUCUCUUUUAUGAUAUGUCGCUUCUCCAGAAUUUUAACUUCAGGUGAGAGAGAAGUGAGUUACUAUCAGAAACAACAAAAAACACUAAAGACAUGACUCACAAAGGUAACUGGUACAAAUUAAAGUCUUUCAAACAUUGUACACAACAGCCUGGUGGUCUCUAAAGCCAACAGUGUCCUGUACCCUGAAAUCAGCACAGAAACACCGGCCCUGCCACCCCAGCCGCCCUGCACGGAGCCGCUUGCCCUGCUCCCGGACGCACAGCUCCCUGCAGCCCAUACUCACUCGCAUAUUCUCUGGAGGUUGCCAGUUCUCGAGCCAGGACAACCUGGUUGGG